CAGUAGUUGCAGCAGUAGUAACAACAGCAGUAGUUGCAGCAGCAGCAACAGCAGUAGUUGCAGCAACAGCAGCAGCAGCAGUAGUAGCAGCAACAGCAGUAGUAGCAGCAACAGCAGUAGUAGCAGCAACAGCAGCAACAGCAGUAGUAGCAGCAACAGCAGUAGUAGCAGCAACAGCAGUAGUAGCAGCAGCAGCAGCAGUAGUAACAGCAGCAGUAGUAGCAGCAACAGCAGCAGUAGCAGCAACAGCAGUAGUAGUAGCAGCAACAGCAGCAGUAGUAGCAGCAGCAGCAGCAGCAGCAGCAGAGCAGCAGCAGCAGCAGCAGUAGUAGAAGCAGCAGCAGCAGUAACAACAGCAGCAGCAGUAACAACAGCAGCAGCAGCAGUAACAACAGCAACAGCAGCAGCAGUAACAGCAGCAGCAGUAGCAGCAGCAGCAGCAGCAGUAACAACAGCAGCAGCAGCAGUAACAACAGCAGCAGCAGCAGUAACAACAGCAGCAGCAGUAGCAACAGCAGCAGCAGCAGUAACAACAGCAGCAGCAGCAGUAACAACAGCAGCAGCAGUAACAACAGCAGCAGCAGCAGUAACAACAGCAGCAGCAGCAGUAACAGCAGCAGCAGCAGCAGUAACAACAGCAGCAGCAGUAACAGCAGCAGCAGCAGCAGUACCAGCAGCAGUAGUAACAGCAGCAGCAGCAGUAGUAACAGCAGCAGCAGCAGUAGUAACAGCAGCAGCAGCAGUAGUAACAGCAGCAGCAGUAGUAACAGCAGCAGCAGCAGUAGCAACAACAGCAGCAGCAGUAGUAACAGCAGCAGCAGCAGUAGUAACAGCAGCAGCAGCAACAGCAGCAGUAGUAGCAGCAGCAGCAGUAACAACAACAGCAGCAGCAGCAGUAGCAACAACAGCAGCAGCAGCAGCAGCAUAA
rnacentral:lncRNA from 1 species